rnacentral:rRNA from 1 species
CCUACGGGUGGCUGCAGUGGGGAAUAUUGCACAAUGGGGGAAACCCUGAUGCAGCGACGCCGCGUGAGUGAAGAAGUAUUUCGGUAUGUAAAGCUCUAUCAGCAGGGAAGAAAAUGAUGGUACCUGACUAAGAAGCCGCGGCUAACUACGUGCCAGCAGCCGCGGUAAUACGUAGGGGGCAAGCGUUAUCCGGAUUUACUGGGUGUAAAGGGAGCGUAGACGGCAGCACAAGUCUGGAGUGAAAUGCCGGGGCUUAACCCCGGAACUGCUUUGGAAACUGUGCAGCUAGAGUGCAGGAGAGGUAAGUGGAAUUCCUAGUGUAGCGGUGAAAUGCGUAGAUAUUAGGAGGAACACCAGUGGCGAAGGCGGCUUACUGGACUCUAACUGACGUUGAGGCUCGAAAGCGUGGGGAGCGAACAGGAUUAGAUACCCGGGUAGUC